CCUCACAGUAUAUAUGCCACCUCAUUUCCUCAGUAAUACAUGCCUGUCAUAUGCAAUCGUGUGUACUAAACUUACAACGAUGUCUCACAAACUUAGCUUCAGCACCAGGAAGUACAACAUGAUUCUGUGCAGUUUGGGUGAAGGUUCCUCUGAUAGGGACAGCGAAGCACAGACCUCAGUGCACAGAGUGCAGCACAGUCCCACCACCAACACUGAGUGAUCUAGCCACUCAUGUUCUAGAGAGAACACCAGAACAGAAGAUCAGACAAGCAGCCCAAAGCCAGAGAAGAGCAAGGUUUGCCUUUUUUAGCCUCCCCAAACAAAGCAGGGUGGAUCACAUAUGUAAAUGCCUGUGGGGAGGGAGGAGUACAAGGAAUGAGGCUCUAGGGAGGGAAAAGAAUGAAUUAAUUGAAUCAGCAAGCAGAAAUGCCUGGAAAUUGGAAAUCAGAAAAAAAAUGAGAUACUGAAAGAGCUGCUCAUGAAGGCAGCUGGAGAAGCAGAGAAGAGGGCAGCUCAGCACGAUGGCUGCUGCCAGUCUGCAGGUCCUGACCUUCCUGAGAUACAGAUUUCAGUUGUGGCUCUGUCCCUGGCUCAGGGGAGUACCCAUCUCUUUUGUGUGGAAGCCUUUGCUUCCUUUCAAUGGAGUAUUCCACUUUUAUAGAUAAAGAUCUUGUGUAUCUAUUUUACUUCAGAAAUGGAUCUAAGAGUAUAGUUUUUCAAAACUAGCACAUUUUUCCUUUUUGCACUCUGGGUACAACAUAUCUAGGCAAGAGCUGCUUUUGGUCCUCCAGCCCCCUUCAUCCACAGAGAUCCUUCCACUGGGGUCCUGCAUGCAGGCUCACACACCCUGAGCUCUUCUCCCCGCUUUGCACCUGCUCUGCCAUUCUCCUCCCUCUGUCCUAGCACUGUUUGCUGAGGACAUACUGGGUAUUUCUACAUAUCCUUAUUUCCCUAGCCAGCGUCCCCCAUUCUCUGCUCAAUGUUUCCCUCUGGUCCAUUUCUGCCCCCACGCAAUGGGUUUCUC
rnacentral:lncRNA from 1 species